GACGAACGCUGGCGGCGUGCUUAACACAUGCAAGUCGAACGGAAAGGCCCUGCUUUUGUGGGGUGCUCGAGUGGCGAACGGGUGAGUAACACGUGAGUAACCUGCCCUUGACUUUGGGAUAACUUCAGGAAACUGGGGCUAAUACCGGAUAGGAGCUCCUGCUGCAUGGUGGGGGUUGGAAAGUUUCGGCGGUUGGGGAUGGACUCGCGGCUUAUCAGCUUGUUGGUGGGGUAGUGGCUUACCAAGGCUUUGACGGGUAGCCGGCCUGAGAGGGUGACCGGCCACAUUGGGACUGAGAUACGGCCCAGACUCCUACGGGAGGCAGCAGUGGGGAAUAUUGCACAAUGGGCGGAAGCCUGAUGCAGCAACGCCGCGUGCGGGAUGACGGCCUUCGGGUUGUAAACCGCUUUCGCCUGUGACGAAGCGUGAGUGACGGUAAUGGGUAAAGAAGCACCGGCUAACUACGUGCCAGCAGCCGCGGUGAUACGUAGGGUGCGAGCGUUGUCCGGAUUUAUUGGGCGUAAAGGGCUCGUAGGUGGUUGAUCGCGUCGGAAGUGUAAUCUUGGGGCUUAACCCUGAGCGUGCUUUCGAUACGGGUUGACUUGAGGAAGGUAGGGGAGAAUGGAAUUCCUGGUGGAGCGGUGGAAUGCGCAGAUAUCAGGAGGAACACCAGUGGCGAAGGCGGUUCUCUGGGCCUUUCCUGACGCUGAGGAGCGAAAGCGUGGGGAGCGAACAGGCUUAGAUACCCUGGUAGUCCACGCUGUAAACGGUGGGUACUAGGUGUGGGGUCCAUUCCACGGGUUCCGUGCCGUAGCUAACGCUUUAAGUACCCCGCCUGGGGAGUACGGCCGCAAGGCUAAAACUCAAAGGAAUUGACGGGGCCCCGCACAAGCGGCGGAGCAUGCGGAUUAAUUCGAUGCAACGCGUAGAACCUUACCUGGGUUUGACAUGGAUCGGGAGUGCUCAGAGAUGGGUGUGCCUCUUUUGGGGUCGGUUCACAGGUGGUGCAUGGCUGUCGUCAGCUCGUGUCGUGAGAUGUUGGGUUAAGUCCCGCAACGAGCGCAACCCUUGUUCACUGUUGCCAACACGUUAUGGUGGGGACUCAGUGGAGACCGCCGGGGUCAACUCGGAGGAAGGUGGGGAUGACGUCAAGUCAUCAUGCCCCUUAUGUCCAGGGCUUCACGCAUGCUACAAUGGCUGGUACAGAGAGUGGCGAGCCUGUGAGGGUGAGCGAAUCUCGGAAAGCCGGUCUCAGUUCGGAUUGGGGUCUGCAACUCGACCUCAUGAAGUCGGAGUCGCUAGUAAUCGCAGAUCAGCAACGCUGCGGUGAAUACGUUCCCGGG
rnacentral:rRNA from 1 species